CACAGGCACAAAGCCUGUGAUGACAUCACAUUCUGUCAUUGGAAAUCCAUAACUACGAGAGAAAUUCAGCCAACUGUAGCGACUCUUCGAUGGCAGAACUAGAAAACAACCUGUUUGUUAAAACCAAGAUAAGGAAGACGCAAAGAAACACAGACGCAGACGCUGAAGCAUAUAAAAUGGCAGAAGCACACAUGGAAGUGGUCAUGGGACCAAAAAUAACAAUUUUGCAAAGAUCGAAAAUUGACCUCAAAAAACCCCAAACACCAAAUCCUGAAACACGUCCUGUGGCACAAGUUCAAACAGACGUGGACGUGAAAGCCAAGAAAAAAAGGGGGCAAAAACAGAAAAGAGUGGCUGAAGAACCCAGACGACCGAUUACUCGGGCGCAUGCUCGGGCUCUUCUGGAAGCCCAGAACAACGCGGCUGAUGGAAGCAACCCGAGAAAUGAAGAAAUGUCAGAAAACCCUGAAGGAACCUCUGAAAUUGAAAACCCUGAAUCCAUCCCUAUGUCAGAACCAAAGGAGGACGUGAAUAUGGAGGCAGAGGCAAACGUGAAAAACGCCAGUGGACAAAACCCUGGACCAAAGGGAGGGAUGUGGCAACAUCAGCCCAAUCCCAAAUUUAUACCCCAUCAUGGCAGAGUCCAGCAUGAUUCAUGUUGCGAGAUCGCUGCUCUCAGGCAUCAACUACAAGCCUCCCAAAACCACCAGAACGAGCUCUACUGGAAACUGGUAGCUGCUAAUAAGAGGGCUUCUUAUUACCAGUCUAAGGUGAGCAAACUUCAUGCACAGAUGAUUGCCGACAAAAAACAGCAUGAAGAAACAAUUAAAGAGCUCAUAGAGCAACUGGAGGAGGCUAAUGAUAAUAAUAAGCCUGAUAAGAGCAAAACAGAGGUUCAAACAAAGGACAACCAAGCAGUUGUCAUGCUGGAUGACAUGAUCCGUGUCCUGCAUGAAGACGUCAGCGACCCUACCACAGAGCAGUGUGUGGAUUCUUCUACCCAAACCACAGAGGCUUCACACACGGUCUCUGUAGGUCUGAAGGAGGCUGAAGUUGAGGUCCAAUGCAGGACUCAACAAGAGCAAAUAGGAACACUCCAACAACAGCUGCUAGAAGCUCAAAACCAUCUCAAGGAACAGGAAGAUGAACAUAGGCAGGACCAGGAGACACUGAACAUGGAAAUCAGUGAGCUUAAAUCCCAGCUCUGCUCCAACAAGGAGCUUCAUGACAUGAAAGUAGAGACUCUUUAUCAAGAGCUGAAAGAAGUCAAAGCGUCCUACAUUAAAAUCACACAGGAGCAAAAUGACCAAAAGUCCAACACUGCAAAUGGAAAAUCUGAGCUUCUGGUGGAAAAAGACACCAAAGAACAGGACAAGGAAGAAGAGGAGGACUCCCUGCCACAGACUGCAGUUACUGUACGUGACUCUUUCCAACAAACAGAAGACAGACAGAAAAUGAUAACUACCAAUCCAGCUGAACUUCAAACUGAAGCUAAGACUGUGCCAGUGAAAAAACCAAAGAAGAAGAAGAGGAACUGGCUGCGUCGGCUUUUCAGCUGUACCAGUCCACAGACAGACUGAUUUAGACAAUUGUGGAAAAAAUAAAUAAAUGCAAAAAAAAAAAAAAAGGAAAACAUAGACGUGUCAUUAUUUCAUAUAGAUUUCAAAUAACAUACCAUUUGAUGUCAACAUGUUUUUGUUGCAUUUGCAGUGCUCGUGCUGUUAUAUUCUUAUGAUUCUCUUCAUUUUAUCAGUAUAUCCUUCAGCCUUGCUUGACAUAUUUACUGCUGCUUGAUCAGCUUUAGUCAUGCUAGCAUCAGCACAGGUAGAAACAGAUACACAUCAGAGAAUCGGCCGUGCAUCGGCCUAUCUAAAUACAAAUGGAAACUAAAAAUGAAAACAUAGAUAACUUAGCUGAACUUCAUAGAUCUGAAAGUUGACCAAUGCAUACAUAGUGCUAAAAAUCAGGUAUCGUGAAAACACAUUAUUUUAUAUUAUGCUGAAGUCAAUUGUUAUCCUUUUUUAAAACUGUAUCAUAUAAUAAAGUCUGUUU
ensembl:lncRNA